UUCUCGGGCUCCUGGUCACACUCUGCACCCAGAGCCCACUACUGUCGGGUUCUAAGCCACUGCCGCCACGCAAUGUGAAGCUGACCUCGGUGGAUAAGGGGUUAAAGGUCACGUGGGAUCCACCCAGUGAGCUGGAUGGACAGCCUGUUGACAGCUACAGCAUCGGCUAUGGGAAGUCCAUGAAAUCACUGCGCUUCGUCACUGUCGACAAGGACAGACGGUCAGAGUUACUAGAGGACGUAGAGCCUGGAGUCCUGCAUUUUCUCAAGAUGAGUGCAGAGAAUAAGGAUGGGAUGAGUAAACCUGUCUACAGGGCAGAGACUCCAGGAGGUGUGUGCUUGUCUGUGUGUGUGGAUAGAGACAUGCAUGUUUCUCUAUGACUCUCUAUUUUCUUCACUGUUGUACAAUGAU